rnacentral:misc_RNA from 1 species
GGCAGGCACUGGCUGAAGCAUACAACUGAAAAACUCAGGAUUUGCAGUAAAAUCCUUUUUCUUCUCAAUAUUCUCCUCCUUCAGUUCAUGAUCAUCACCUUCAGGCGAGCUCCUCUGAAUUGUCGUCGAUUCCGCCAUUUCGAGAAAAUUCAGGUGAACUCUUCAUUCAAAAAAUCGCCUCCUCCGGCAACCAGAUCGUGGAGGAAGCGCUUUUCAAAUUAUUAUUUAUUCUCUCGGCGAUGGGCUGAAAACGGAGUUGCCAAAAUGUGAAUUGUGACGACUAAGGCGAAUGUGCAAUUGAGU